rnacentral:rRNA from 1 species
GAUGAACGCUAGCGGCAGGCCUAAUACAUGCAAGUCGAACGGUGUCUUCGGACAUAGUGGCGCACGGGUGCGUAACACGUAUGCAACCUACCUUACAUUGGGGGAUAGCCUUUCGAAAGGGAGAUUAAUACCGCAUAAGCCAGUAGCUGGGCAUCCAGCAGCUGUUAAAGAUUUAUCGAUGUAAGCUGGGCAUGCGUCCAAUUAGCUAGUUGGUGGGGUAACGGCUCACCAAGGCAAUGAUUGGUAGGGGAACUGAGAGGUCAAUCCCCCACACUGGCACUGAGAUACGGGCCAGACUCCUACGGGAGGCAGCAGUAGGGAAUAUUGGGCAAUGGACGCAAGUCUGACCCAGCCAUGCCGCGUGCAGGAUGAAGGCGUUAUGCGUUGUAAACUGCUUUUAUACAGGAAGAAACGACUCUUGCGAGAGGCAUUGACGGUACUGUAUGAAUAAGCACCGGCUAACUCCGUGCCAGCCGCCGCGGUAA